GGAGUAUUGAGGCAGAGCAGAAGGCAGCGAGGAUGAAAGGGAAAGGGCUCUAAGAGAGCGGAGACUGGCAGACAAACAGAAGUUUAGAAAAAUGAAGGCUUAAGGAGACAUGAUAAGAGUUUCAUAUAAUUCUGAAAUAUGCAGAGGGCCUUGAUUAUAUUCUGUUUCCCACCAAAUGCUGCAACCAAAAUUCAACUGAUGAAACCAACUGGCAAGAGGCUUCGCAGAAAGGAAAGGAACUGCUUCACACAGGGUGGCCAAGUGCCCUACUUCACACAGGAAGGUGUGCUGUUUGAAGAGCUGCCUGGUCCACAGACAGAGGACCCCAAGGAGGGAGAGCAGCAGGAGCCUUCAAGUUGCCCAUCAACAGUUCACACCUGGGUAGCAGACCAAGCUGUCUCCUGGUCACAGUCUUUCCUUCUAUGCUCUUGCACCUGCUUCUACUAUAUGCAAAUCCGAGCGGGCCUGCCGCCUCAUGUCAAGAACGAGUUACGUCUCCUCUCGCCCCAGCCAGAGGCGAGCGCAGAGAAAUAUGUGUGACAACCGUCUGCGGCCUUCAUUGAAGUCAGCAGAUAAGGGCGGGCGAUUCAGGCGCCCCCAGAACAAGCAGCUCCCAUGACGGCAUCGGACAUCCCAGCAUUUUCUUGGUCCCCGCAAGCAGCCACCUAGGAUGCAGAAUCCAACAUGCUUCCACAAAUGGUGCUGUAGCCACUGAGCCCAGAAAACCCAAAGGUUUUCUCCAUGUAAAUAAGAGCAGUUGCCGCACUUCCUGUAUUGCUUGCUGCACCGAGAGUUAACUGCUCCAUUUCACACAACCUCCAAAAGAGCAUGUACCUUCUUAUGCAUUGGUUUUUAAUAACCAAACUAGAGAAAUAUUUACAAUUAGGAUUUCCUAUUUAACUGACACCGCCCCUGUGUGUUUGACAGCUGCCUGAGCGCCUAUGUGAAGCUAAUUGUGUCAGUUGCAAUCAUGUCAACAUUUUAAUUUUAUUUCAUUGCAAGCAAAGGGGAGGAGGGAGCUGGUUUUUGUUGGAACUGCGAUGGACAGGGAGGGGAAGUUUAAACCUUCCCUCACCUGCCUGGAUCUCAAUGAAAAUCCCCCUUAUCCAAGCGGUUUGGCUUAGGAAAAGAGUUCCCACUGGUGCCAGUUUAGCAAUUCAGCAAAUCAAACACACCUUGAUACUUUGUCCAUUGGGGAAUCAGUAGGGGCUCCUUGUAGCUCAUGGAGCUGAAUCUCCUCAUUAGCUGAUUUAUUUAUUUAUACAGCUAGCUAGUUCCUCCCAGCUGCUGUUACAGCCAGUGAGGUAAAGGUGUGUGGCUCUAAUUGCUGAGAAAAGGGAUUUGAAAGGCAGAAGGGAGUCAUAUCAGUUUAGCCCCCUGGGAAUGGGGAGUGAACAAGAGGUGUUUAUUAAUUGGGGAGUGUGUGCAAGAUAGUAGGACUGCAUAGGAAAGUGCUGCUAGUAUACAGUGGUACCUCAGGUUAAUACUUAAUUUAUUCCGGAGGUCCGUUCUUAACCUGAAACUGUUCUU